GGAUGAUGAAGAAGAGGAUAGGAGGAGGAGAAGGAGACGAGGAUGAAGAGGAGGAGAGGAGGAUGAAGAGGAGGAGGAAGAGGAGGAUGGAGAGGAGGAGGAUAGGAGGAUGAAGAAGAGGAUAGGAGGAGGAGAAGGAGACGAGGAUGAAGAGGAGGAGAGGAGGAUGAAGAGGAUAGGAUGAUGAAGAGGAGGAGAGGGGUAUGAAGAUGAUGAUGAAGAGGGGGAGGAGAGGAUGAAAAAGAGAGAGGGAACGAGGAGGACUUAAAUAGAAGAAAUUGGAAGAGAGGAGGCGAGUUUAAAGGUCACGCUGUACGACCAUGAAGCAACAAGAAGAAAGAGAGGAUAAGAAGGAACGGAAAACCCUUCGAACUUCCUGUGAUGAUGUCACUUGAAAAGGAAGAGAGCCCAGCUACUGUAAGACAUCUUCCAUUUGUGUGUACGUGCACGCACACGUGCGCUGCCAUUUCAACCCUUUUACUGCAGCCACGCGACACCCCGAAGGAUCCCUAAUAACAAUACACUAUGAUCAAAUAAGAAGAAGAUCCAAUCUACUACUAGACGUUGACUGGGUCGGAACCUGUAGGACUUAUAACGUGUGAGAACAGUCACUGUCACUGGUCAAAACGCUUAUCGCUUCAAAGGACUAAAUAACAAUAGUACUAUUUGUUUAGUUGCUUUAGUUAUUAAGUUAGGUUUAUUUGGUUUAAGUUUAUUUAGUUAGGUUUAUUUAGUUAGGUUUAUUUAGGUCUAUUUAGUCAGGUUUAUUUAGGUUUAUUUAGUUAGGUUUAUUUUGUUUUUAGGGGGUUUUAAAUUAUAGGAGAUGUGGUCCAGACUACCACAGAAAGAUGAAACUGGUAUAAACUGGAUUGAACUGGUC
ensembl:lncRNA